GGCCUGGUGGCCUAAUGGUAAGGCGUUGCUUUCCGGUUCCCUGAACAUGGCAAAGAUUGCGGGUUCGAGUCCCGUCUGGGUCG